rnacentral:rRNA from 1 species
UUUAACUAGAUCUUGUCUAUGGAGAAAAGCCCGAAGAAAGAAGAUCUAACUAAUGUGAUUAUUUUAGCAUACAAAAUGCUAGUGUAGCAAAACUAAGGCUCUAAACACCUAGUUAGGAGUGAAAGGCUAAUCAAUUCUUUUUGAUAUCUGGAUAAAACUUAAACUUAUGUAGUAAUUAAGACAAGCUCAGAAUGCUAAGAUUCUGAGCGAAUUAUAAUUUGCGGCACUAUUCUAUUCCAUUUUAUUAAGAUAAAUUUGAGAGUUUGAGUACAAUAAUUAAAUUGCACAUUUGCUUUAAUAAUAUAAGUUUUUAAUCUUGUUAAUUUAAAUUGAGGUUUAAUAAUGUUGAUAUGAGUAUUAGUCUAUAAUAAUAAGUGAGGAACUCGGCAAAUCACCCCUUCAACUGUUUAUCAAAAACAUAGCUGAUUGCUGAAGUUUAAAUAAUCAGUUUGCUCUGCCCGGUGAACAUAAUUUUAACGGCCGCAGUACACUGACUGUGCAAAGGUAGCAUAAUCAAUUGGCUUUUAAUUGAAGUCGCGUAUGAAUGAGUGAAUGUGGGAAAGCUGUCUUAUUUAUUUUGAUGUGAAAUUGCUUUGCAAGUGCAAAUUCUUGCGGUGGACAUAAUAGACGAGAAGACCCUAUAAAUUUACACAAAGAUGCCAAAAAGUUUUGGAAAAGGUUUUUGUUGGGGCAACAGAUUAACAGGAAAUGAGUCAAUUUAAUCUAAUAACUAGAAAAGAGAAAUAAGUCGAGUUUUACUAGGUAUAACCAAAUUACUAUAGGGAUAACAGCAUAAUUUUUUCUUUAAGAUUGUGACCUCGAUGUUGGAUUAGGAAGCCUGACGAUUAGCAAUUUACAGGUUAAGUUCUGUUCGAACUCUUUGUUCCU